rnacentral:rRNA from 1 species
CAGCAGUAGCCACGGGAAUACGGAGGGUGCAAGCGUUAAUCGGAAUUACUGGGCGUAAAGCGCACGCAGGCGGUCUGUCAAGUCAGAUGUGAAAUCCCCGGGCUUAACCUGGGAACUGCAUUUGAAACUGGCAGGCUAGAGUCUUGUAGAGGGGGGUAGAAUUCCAGGUGUAGCGGUGAAAUGCGUAGAGAUCUGGAGGAAUACCGGUGGCGAAGGCGGCCCCCUGGACAAAGACUGACGCUCAGGUGCGAAAGCGUGGGGAGCAAACAGGAUUAGAUACCCCGGUAGUCCCUGUCUCUUAUAC